UCAGCUUGACAAAUGGAGUUUUUGAGCUUUGAAUUGUAAUUUUGCAAUGCAUCACCAGCGGAGGUACAGUUGCAAGCCUUUUGAAAGACAGCGCCAUUGAGGGUGAAAUUCCUUUUUGUCUUCUGCAACCUUUGUGCACGGUAUGUAUUUGGUGAAUCACAUUCCUCGGCAUUGGAAUGCAAAUUGGGUGGUAAAUUUCACGCAAGGGAAAAUAUAUUAUUGAGUCUGAUAAUGAACAAGUACCAUGAGGGAAAUAUGCAAAGGACUUUGAAAAGAAAAUUAAAAGAGCUUGCAUUUGCUAAACAGAAAACUAGCAGAAGUGCUUUAUCUUGGUAAGAUUGCUGCGCAUGGGUUUACUGUGUAAAUUGUAUGAGCAUUGGUUCUUACUUUGUGUGUCAAUUCCAUUGUCAAUUUUAAUAUCUUUGCUCAUGAAUUGUGAAAUGCUUGCGGGUGUUAGAUUGCAUGUGCAUUCAUUAAUUUGGACUUGGUGCAGUGCUUGGCAACAGCUUGCAUGUAGAGUGUGCGUGCAAUGUACAAUUGCGAUUGUCAGCUGUUGCCAACCACUUUUGUUGGCAAUGUGAUUCUGCUUGACCCGUCUUGAAACACGGACCAAGGAGUCUAACAGAUGUGCAAGUUCUGGGGUGUGCACACCCUGUAGCUUAAUGAAUGUGUUUGCUGGGAUAUGUGCACCAGCAGCUGACUGAUUAACAGACAGAGGUUUGAAUUUGAGCAUAUCUAUCACGACCCGAAAGAUGGUGAACUAUGCC
rnacentral:rRNA from 1 species